rnacentral:sRNA from 1 species
GGGCUCGUGCAGUCAUCUGCCGGGUAUCCGAGCCAUCCGUGGUCCCCGGGUCCCAGUACUUCAGCUAUAGAACGACACCGUAACUAUCCGCACUAGAAAGUUCAUGACCAACCGACUACUUCAGAGGAAACAAAUGGUCAUUGAUGUCCUUCACCCCGGGAAGGCAACAGUGCCUAAGACAGAAAUUCGGGAAAAACUAGCCAAAAUGUACAAGACCACACCGGAUGUCAUCUUUGUAUUUGGAUUCAGAACUCAUUUUGGUGGUGGCAAGACAACUGGCUUUGGCAUGAUUUAUGAUUCCCUGGAUUAUGCAAAGAAAAAUGAACCCAAACAUAGACUUGCAAGACAUGGCCUGUAUGAGAAGAAAAAGACCUCAAGAAAGCAACGAAAGGAACGCAAGAACAGAAUGAAGAAAGUCAGGGGGACUGCAAAGGCCAAUGUUGGUGCUGGCAAAAAGCCGAAGGAGUAAAGGUGCUGCAAUGAUGUUAUCUGUGGCCACUGGAUUUUUCACAAGAACAGUAAUAAACUAAAAACUUC